UCCAGGCACUCAUGCUUUCCCCACACUGGCCCCAGAUCACAUUUACUGCUUUUUCCAGUGACUUUUUAAGCUAUCUUAUCACUCAAUCAGCUCCGGACAAAUGGCAUUGACUUUGGAAAUUAUUCUUUGAGUACAGUUAACUAAAUAACAGUGGAUCUAUGAAAGAAAGCCUAAGGCAAGUUUCUUCCUGAAAUCUCUGGCCACUAGCUCUGAACAGCGAUGGGAAAUUUCAGCUCUGGGUGGGCUUCAGAACUGGAGAAGAAGUCAUGACACUGACCGAGUGAUUUAACACUCCGACAAGGGACGCUGUGCCAUGUGCACCUCGGCCCUGGAAUGCCUGGGGUUUGGGACUGUGGGGCAGCCUCCAGAUGGCCUUCCUGUGGGUGUGCACACUCUCAGUGUGACCUUCUGGGUUUUCAAGGCCUCCACUCUGCUGGGGUAGGGUGGGCAGUGGAGGCCAGUGCAGAGAGAGCUAUAGUUUCCUUUUUUAUUUUCUCUGCCUUUUCUUUGGAGACCAUUCUGAAAUUAAAUGUUAAAAUAACCAAUUCCAGAAAAGAGAAUUAUGUCGUCUUAUCUGAUGCCCCUCAAAUGCCAUCACAUCCAAGCAUGACUGCUGAUCUUUGCUGUUCAUAGCUUGGGGUGUUCAAAUAAGAUUUAGGAGGGCACUAGGAGGUUUUCCUCCAUGGGUCUCCCCCGCCACCCCGCCUUUAUUUGUUCCUGUGCCAUCAAAGAAUAACUUCCAAAGUCAAUGCCAUUUGUCCAGAGCUGAUUGAGAAAAGAGAGCAAUUCAUGUAUAUUUUUGGUUGGUAGCUUUGAAGGUUGCCUUCCAAGUGAAAUGUUAACAAAAGAGUAGCUGGCAGCCCCAACAAAACAGUUAUUUUAUCCUAUUAAAAUAGUUUGCAAGAAACUUAUGUUAGGUUAUGUGUUAUAUUUCACCAGAAAUGUCCUACACAGCUUUUUUUUUUUUGAUGAAGUGAUGAACAGAGCAUUGAAGGUUGACAUUUGAUUUAUUUCUGUCAACGGCGAUAUUUUCGAUGUACAGUCUUCUGUCCAAGAAUCCCAAGUACAUAGUGUUGGCUGCUCAUCAAAAUAAAAUAAAUCCCUAAUCUCCCUCAUUUGGAAGCUAAGCAAAGAAAGUAAAACAAAUAAGUAAAGAAAGAGAGAAA